rnacentral:lncRNA from 1 species
AGACUCCUAUGGCUUCUCUUCAUUGUCUGUAUCCUCUGAUCUUCUUCUUCUGCAAAAUCUAUUUUAUAAACUUGUAUUUAUCAUAUGCUAUCAUCUUCAUAGUAAGACAUCGGUUAUCUUUGUUCUAUAUUCUUAAUGACAAUGAUUUAAUCCAAUUGAGUUCUGUAACGGUACCGGCUUUACAUCAGUGGUCAGAAGAGCAGCCGGCGAUUCGAAACAGACAGUUGCAUCCAACAGAGAUUUGCCGGGAUUAAUCAUCUCCCCGUCAUAACUUUCGUCUCCAUCACGGAUUCAAUAAGCAUCCUCUGGAACAGAAUGCCAUUUGUGAAUCAUAUCCACAGUUUCCGGAAUCUAUAUACUGGUCCACGCUGAAGCUACCUCCUCCUACGCCGGAAAUUUCUCAGAGAAAUCUGUUGCCGUAAAAUCCGACCAUUUAGAACGAUGAUCGAUUCAACGAUCAUGUUAUCGACUGGAUAUCCAAACCAUUUUCUUAGAUAUUGCCAUACCACCACAGCUUAAGUGACCGUCGCGAACACUCUUGAUUCUUCAUAGAGAGUGACCUUGGGGAUUUUGUUGCGAUAGGACUGAUCAUUGCAAGAGACGAACACAUUUACAGUCGAAGCUUGAGGAGGUUAUCUUGGCAGAUGCUAAUGCCUAUUUAAUUCCAGAGAGUGGGAGGAGUGGUAUAGAAUACGUAAUGAUGGUGAUAAAGACGCUAACUGAAGACGUUACAGAGAGAUGAAGGUCAGAGAUGGUGAAAUCUGAAAAGACACAGCGAUUCGCUCUGCAAAUCUGCCAGCAAAAGUGAUGCAAAUCCUAACUAAAGUUGGGCCUCCUAUGAAAAACAAUAAAAGCCCAUUUCAUUAAUCAUAUUAUUAAUUGUUAGCCCAAAUUAAAAUACACUUUGCGAGAAAGCUUAUUCGUAUGAUUAACAAAGGAAGACACGUGUCAAAGAAUGCCCCAUGCUGAAUAAUGACGUGGAGUGCUGAGGUGAGAGAAAACUCUAUUUUAUUAUUAUAGAUUAUAGAUAUCAUAGGCUGAACAUAUAAGACCAACUCCAACGAGGGAAUGGUAAGAGGUCCUUAACUUUUUUUUAAAAAUGAAAAAUCAACAAAACAAAGAGAGAGAAACACACAAAAAUCCUAAUCUUACAACUUUUUAGAACCUUUACCAACCUCCAAAGUACAUGUGUUAAUCAGACAUUGUUUCAAACGAUUGUAAAAAGCAAAAAUAAUUAUAAUAUUAAUUACAAUGCUGUCCUAAGCAUGUCUGGAUAGGCUUGAGGCCAUUUUGAAUUUGGUAAAAUAAAAUAAGUAAUCAGCUAAAUAUGUUUACUUUUUUUUGUCGACAAGUAAAUAUAUUCACAUAUAAAAAUUAUUAGCAUACUAUCUCAAAUUUUGGUCAAACAAGUAUAAUAUCUAAAUUAUGCAAUAUUUAUUUUACUAUAUUUCACUAAUAAAUAUAGUAAAAUGUCAUGUAUCAUCAAUUACGUUUUUUUAUAAUUAUUCAGAUUUCUCUGUAUGUAAAAUUAAUAUAUUUUCUGGUCACAACACUUUUAAGUUGAACUAAAAAGAAGAGGCUUUGUUAUUUAUGAAGAACAAAAAUAACAUUUUCAAAUUUAUUUAAAACAAUGAAAGAAUACCCGUGCUUAGCACGGGAGAAACAUACUAGUACGGUAAUAACUCAUCAAUCAUCAUUAAAAUAAAUAUAUAAAAAUAUGGCAUUACAAACUUUGAAAUAUCAUUUAAUUAUAUAUUUUGAAUUAUACAAUUUUACUACUAAAAUUUUCAAAAAUGUAUAUAUAUUUUUUUGAAAAUUACAAAAAUUUAAUCGUAAAAUCAUUAGUUUCUUAUAUAUCUAUAAAUUUUAUAAAUAUUGUUUAGUUUUAAUUUUUGAUAAUUAUGCAGGUUUUUACAAAUAUAUUUAAUUAAAAUAAAUAUAUAUAAAAAUCUAUCUAAGCUUAUAAUUUUAAAUAUAUACAUGCAUAUUCUUAAAUAUAAUUUAAAAUAAACAAAAUAAUUUUUAUCUUAAUUUUUAUGUUUAAUUAAAUCAAAUUUAUAUUAAAAUGCAGACAACAUACUUUCAUGGCUGAAAUGUUUGCGAAUUUCGAUUGUGAUAUUUUAAAUAUAAUUUAUAUUUAUCUGUUAAAAUUUUUUUAAAUUUUUUUCUCCACAUGGUGCAGGAAAACACCUAGUAUGUGAGUAAAAAGCUUGUCAUGUAAUAUUUUCAUGGAAAAUUGUCACAAAUGACACAUUUAUAGUACUACUUUUCAUAUUUAUACUAAUCACUUUUACCAUCAAUUUUAAUGAAGGAUAAAAGAUACUUAUACCCUUAGGGUUAACUAAUAUAGACUUAGGUUUAGAGUCGAGGUGUGGGGUAGGAUUUCUGGAAUGUGAAAAUUAAGAUUAUAAUAAAUAUAUAAAUAAGUACUUAAAAAAUAUUUAAAAAAAUUUCAAAAAUAGUUUCAAACAUAAUUUUCGAUUUUCAAAAAGAAAUUUUGAAAAAAAAUCAAAAAAAUAAUUAUAAAAAUGUUCGAAUUUGAAAAAGUAUAAUUCGAAAACAUUAUUUUUUUAAUUCUUUUAUUUAUUUAAAUAAUGAUUUAUUAUAUAUAUAUAACAAAUGUAUAAAAACCUUUUGUCACUUAACUAAGAAUGUAAUUUUAAAAAUGUCUUUUUAGUAGUGGUAAAAACUAUAAGUGGUAUAAAGAAAGCUGUAAACCUAAAAUCGCCCUAUUUUCAUACAGAUGAGACAGAUAUUUGACAUAAAGUUUAUGGGCCUCAGAAACUAGAUCUCGUAACAAAGUGUGGCCCAACUCUCGGCCCAUCUCAAAGCUUCCGCUUUCACAACCUUCUCUUCGAUCAUCUCUCAGAGGACACGUCCGAUGCUUCUCCGAUCUCCAGAAUCGUCCCACUCGACAUAGCCAUUUGCAAGCAGAUCCACCGUCGCCGCGUUUCUGGCGAAUAAGGAGUAACAAGGAUCUGAUCUCAAUUGAGUUUUCGUGGCUAAGCUCCCACUCUACCGCAUCGGCUCGAUCCUUCACCAUACACUGAGAGCUUCUACACAUACGCCAUUGAACCCAAAGAAACACUUCAAAGAGUAGAAUCUGGAUCUCUUUCUCCGAUCCCGAUCUCUCCAGUACAUUUGGUCUCGUUAGAUAGGUAGGCUGAGUCUCUCGAUCCUCUUCCUCCUUCCCUUUAAGUUUCAAACUGUUCUACGUAUUAGCUCUUAAGUUUUAAUAGGUAGUUUUGCUGACUUGCGAUUCAAUGAGAUCUGAAUUGUAUGGUUUUGAAUUUGCAGCUCUACAUGCUUCGUGUGUGUAUUGGUGUUUGAGGACGAGUUAUGGGGUAUCAGAAUCACCAUCCAUCGGGAAGCAGCAACUCGUUCCAUGGAGGAGAGUUCAACAAACCGUCCAAAGUUGCUGUGGCGUCUAUGAUCAACUCCGAGAUCGGCGCAGUUUUGGCUGUGAUGAGGAGGAACGUGCGUUGGGGUGUCCGCUACAUUGCGGAUGAUGAUCAGUUGGAGCAUUCCCUUAUCCAUUCUUUGAAAGAAUUGCGUAAGCAGAUAUUCUCAUGGCAGAGCAAUUGGCAAAACGUUGACCCCAAGCUGUACAUACAGCCGUUUCUGGAUGUUAUACUCUCUGAUGAAACCGGGGCUCCCAUCACCGGCGUUGCUUUGUCCUCUGUCUACAAGAUCUUGACCCUUGAUGUUUUCACGCUUGACACCGUGAAUGUGGGAGAGGCGAUGCAUAUCAUAGUGGAUGCUGUGAAAAGCUGCCGUUUUGAGGUGACUGAUCCUGCCUCCGAGGAAGUGGUUUUGAUGAAGAUACUUCAGGUUCUUCUGGCUUGUAUAAAGUGUAAGGCGGCUAGUGGGUUGAGUAAUCAGGAUAUUUGCACCAUCGUCAACACUUGUUUGCGUGUUGUUCAUCAGUCUAGCUCCAAAAGUGAGUUGUUGCAGCGUAUAGCACGCCACACGAUGCAUGAGUUGGUUAGAUGCAUCUUCUCUCAGCUUCCUUGUAUCGGCCCGCUGGCUAAUGAAAGCGAAUUACCCGUCGGCGAUAAGGUGAUUCAAUUUGACCUUCCUUGCUAGAAUUUUUAUAUGUUUGUUCUAUAGAUAGAAUAUUUAACAUGUUUCAGUGACGCCAAAAGUCAUAUCGUAUUAUGAUUUAUCUGCUAUGCGUAUUGAUUGAUUGAAGAUGCCUCAUGACUAAGUUUAAUGGUGAAUUGGGUUGACCAUCUGUUUGUUUUCCACAAAUUUCUCACGGUAUUCUUUCUUGUCUAGGUGGGAACAGUGGAUUGGGAUCAGAAUUCUGGAGAAAACACAGUUGAAAAUGGAAGUAUUGAUACUCUCGGCGUUGAGAAAGAUUCUCCAAGUUCUGAGAUGGUUAUUCCAGAAACAGUAGUCAAAAAAGAUGAAAAGGGAGCUGAGGUCAGUGAUGACUUAAAUGUUGCUGCGAAUGGUGAAAAUGCAAUGUUGGCGCCUUUUGGUAUUCCAUGCAUGGUAGAGAUUUUUCAUUUCCUGUGUACUCUGUUGAAUAUUGGAGAAAACAGUGAAGUCAAUUCCAGAUCUAACCCUAUAGCAUUUGAUGAAGACGUUCCUCUUUUCGCUCUGGGUUUAAUUAAUUCUGCUAUAGAACUUGGAGGCUCUUCUUUCCGUGAGCACCCAAAAUUGUUGAGUUUGAUUCAGGAUGAGUUAUUCUGUAACUUGAUGCAGUUUGGUAUGUCGAUGAGCCCUCUGAUUCUUUCUACAGUUUGCAGCAUCGUUCUUAAUCUCUACCUGACUCUCCGUACUGAACUUAAGGUACAGCUUGAAGCUUUCUUCUCAUGCGUACUUCUGAGGAUUGCACAGAGCAAGCAUGGCUCUUCUUACCAGCAACAGGAGGUUGCUAUGGAAGCUCUGGUUGAUUUUUGCAGACAGCAUACUUUCAUGGCUGAAAUGUUUGCGAAUUUCGAUUGUGAUAUAACAUGCAGUAAUGUGUUCGAAGAUGUUUCAAAUUUGCUAUCAAAGAGUGCCUUCCCAGUUAACGGGCCUUUAUCUGCUAUGCACAUAAUUGCAUUGGAUGGGUUAAUCUCCAUGGUUCAGGGAAUGGCUGAAAGGGUUGGUGAGGAAUUGCCGGGUUCAAAUGUUUCGACACAUGAAGAAGGAUACGAAGCAUUUUGGACAGUGAGAUGUGAGAACUACGGAGAUCCUAAUUUAUGGGUUCCCUUUGUCCGAAAGUCAAAGCACAUCAAGAAAAAGCUGAUGGUUGGUGCUGAUCAUUUUAACAGUGAUCCUAAAAAAGGUCUGCAGCAACUCCAAGCGAUGCACUUGUUACCUGAAGAACUUGAUCCAAAGAGUGUGGCAUGUUUCUUCAGGUAUACAUGUGGGAUAGAUAAGAACCUUAUAGGAGAUUUCUUGGGAAAUCAUGACCAGUUCUGUGUUCAGGUUCUUCAUGAGUUUGCCAAGACGUUUGACUUCCAGAAUAUGAAUCUUGAUAACGCCCUGCGUCUCUUUGUGGGGACAUUUAGAUUGCCUGGCGAGUCGCAGAAGAUACAGAGGGUGCUUGAAGCGUUUUCUGAGAGAUACUAUGAGCAGUCACCACAGAUAUUGAUUGAUAAAGACGCUGCCCUCUUGUUAUCUUAUUCGAUUAUCUUGCUGAACACAGAUCACCACAACACUCAGGUCAAGAAAAAGAUGACUGAAGAAGAUUUCAUCCGUAACAACAGGUGCAUAAAUGGAGGCGCAGAUCUUCCCAGGGAAUACUUAUCUGAGCUUUAUCAUUCAAUCUGCGACAGUGAGAUUCAGAUGAUCCCAGAUCAAGGAACCGGUUUCCAAAUGAUGACCUCCAGUCGGUGGAUUAGUGUGAUUUACAAGUCCAAAGAAACCAGUCCCUAUAUCAUAUGUGACAGCGCAUCGUAUCUGGACCGUGACAUGUUUCAUAUCGUGUCCGGUCCCACUAUUGCUGCUACAUCUGUGGUUUUUGAGCAAGCAGAGCAAGAAGAUGUUCUGCAGAGAUGUGUUGAUGGGUUAUUGGCCAUUGCAAAACUUUCAGCGUAUUACCAUUUGAAUAGUGUAUUGGAUGAUCUGGUCGUGUCUCUCUGCAAAUUCACGCCAUUCUUCGCGUCGUUAUCUGUUGAUGAAGCUGUUCUUGCUAUAGGAGAAGAUGCCAGAGCAAGAAUGGCUACUGAAAGUGUGUUCUUGAUCGCAAACAAAUACGGCGACUAUAUCACUUCGGGAUGGAAAAACGUACUGGAAUGUGUCUUGAGCCUCCACAAACUCCAGAUUUUACCAGCUCAUAUAGCUAGUGAUGCUGCGGAUGACCCAGAGGAAGAAAGACCUUUAGCAAAUCCCUUAUCAGUAGUAUCACAGGUACAACCCUCAGAGACCCCUCGAAAAUCCUCUAGUUUUAUCGGUCGGUUUAGCCAGCUUUUGUCCUUUGACAUGGAGGAGACGAAGCCAUUAUUACCUACCGAGGAAGAACUUGCAGCCUAUAAGCACGCUCGUGGUAUAGUGAAAGAUUGUCAUAUUGAUAGCAUAUUCUCAGACAGCACGUUUCUCCAAGCCGAGUCCCUGCAACAGCUAGUAAACUCUCUCAUAAAGGCAGCCGCGAAAGAUAAAGAUAGUGCUGUCUUUUGCCUGGAGCUUUUAAUUGCAGUAACUCUAAACAACCGAGACAGAAUCCUACUGAUCUGGCAAACUGUUUACGAGCACAUCUCGGGUAUAGUUCAAUCAACGACGACACCAUGCCCGCUUGUGGAAAAGGCUGUGUUUGGUGUGUUGAAGAUUUGUCAGAGAUUAUUGCCUUACAAGGAGAAUCUAACAGAUGAGCUUCUGAAAUUACUCCAACUGGUUCUCAAACUUGAUGCAAGAGUGGCUGAUGCAUACUGUGAGCCCAUAACGCAAGAAGUAGCCCGUCUUGUAAAAGCGAAUGCAUCUCACGUCAGAUCUCAUGUUGGUUGGAGAACAAUCAUAUCUCUGAUAUCAAUCACAGCUCGACAUCCAGAAGCUUCUGAUGCUGGAUUCGAAGCUCUCCGGUUUAUAAUGUCAGAAGGAGCUCACUUGUUGCUAGCAAACUACAUUCUUUGUUCGGAUGCAGCUAGGCAGUUUGCUGAAUCCCGUGUCGGGGAAAUCGAUCGGUCUAUCUCAGCCAUCGACUUAAUGUCAAACUCUGUGUUCUGUCUUGCUAGGUGGUCUCAAGAGGCGAAAAACUCGGUGGGAGAAGAUGAAGCUAUGAGGAAACUAAGUCAAGACGUCGGAGAGAUGUGGCUCAGGCUUGUGAACAACCUCAAAAGGGUUUGUCUUGAUCAACGCGACCAAGUGAGAAACCACGCCAUCUCAAUGCUACAGAGAUCAAUAGCCGGUGCAGACGGAAUCAUGUUACCACAACCAAUAUGGUUCCAAUGCUUCGACGCCGCAAUCUUCCCGUUGCUAGACGAACUGCUCGCUGUUUCGAUCGAGAAUUCAAGAAAGACAUUCAAGAAAACAGUUGAAGAAACGCUUGUGCUCGCCACAAAGCUCAUGUCAAAGGCCUUUCUUCAAGCUCUCCAAGACAUCUCGCAGCAACCAUCGUUCUGCAGACUCUGGCUUGGUGUAUUGGACCGUAUGGAGACUUACAUGUCGACCAAGUUCAGAGGGAAACGCAGCGAGAAAGUCCAUGAACUCAUACCGGAACUGCUGAAGAACACGUUGCUGGUGAUGAAGACGACGGGUGUUUUACUACCAGGUGAUGAUAUUGGAAGUGAUAGUUUCUGGCAACUGACUUGGCUUCAUGUCAAGAAGAUAUCUCCUUCUCUGCAAUCUGAAGUGUUCCCUCAAGAGGAGCUUGAUCAGUUUCAGAGACGAAACGCUAAGCCUGAGGAUACUCCGGUGGUACCGGAAAACUAAGACUCAGAACGGUGGUGGUGGAGUAGUAAGGAUUUGUUUUUAUACAGAAAAGCAUUAUUGAGAAGUUUUUUUUAGAAACUAUAUCGAAAUAUUAUAUCUUUGCAGUAUAGCCUUUUGUUUGAAUAUAGUACUUUUGAGCUUUUGGAUUUUUAUGGAAUGUCACGUUGGAGUUAUGGCUUUGAUUGGAGAUUUGCUUGGAGGCGAUUCAGGAAAGCGUUGUCACAAGUUGCACAAAUCGGCUUUUGAGUUUACCAAUAGAACGGACAGAUAAAAUGAACAGUUGAACUGAGUGAGCUUUUCAGGGUGCCGCCAACCCAUUCAUGUAUUUUUCAUUCUGAAACAGAAUAAUGUCAAAAUAGGGUUGAGCUUUUCUAAAAAAUUAUUACUUUACCUUUAUUUCUAAAUACAAAUUAAAAUAUUCUCAUUAAAUUAGUUUUUUAAAAAAUAAUUUUAUUUUAUUCUAAUGGAAAAAUUACAAAAGUAUAAUAUUUUUAAUGAAAAUUACAGUAAUCAACUUUACUAAACAAAAACAAAGAUAGGAUAAUGUUAAAGAUAUGCAUGUCAAAUUCAAAGACAAUAAUUUUAUAUAGCUUCACAAAUUAGAGUUGUUUAUAUUAUAGUUGUAUAUUCACUUCAAUUUGGAUAUUAUCAUGUGUAAGUAGUAGGAUAAAUUUUCCACUACAAGCUACCUACCACAAUUACAAAAGCUUAAUAAUUUUCAAUUAUUUAAAAAAGCACAUAGAUUAUAGAAAAUUUGGAAUCUCCUCACAAAUAUUUUCUUGAACAUACCUCUGUCUCUCUAUCUUAAUAUAUUCUCAUAGAUCAUUUGAGUCCAAAUUUUGGAUCUUGCAAUUUAAAAAUUAAUUAUUAUUUUCUUUGUUUUUAAAAAAUUUACUGUUUCAUUUCUUAUAAGUUAUUUAUAUAAUAUCACCAUUAUAUUUCAACAUAAUAAAAACUCGUGGUUCCAUAUUUUCGCCGGAAACCAACUAGCGCAAUGGACCAACUAGGGGUGGGCGUUCGGGUAUCCGGGUUCGGAUCGGAUAUUUCGGUAUAGAGGUGUAGAACGUCAGAGUAUUUCUGUACUUCGGGUCGGGUUCGGAUAUUUUUAGUUUGGGUUCAGUUAUUGCAGAUCGGUUUCCGAUAUUUAGAUUUUGAAAAAAACAAAAUUAAAUUUUCAUUUCUCAAAUUUCUUGUAUUUAAAAAUAUAACUUUCACUUAACUAAUUUUUUAUUUUUAAUAAAUUGAAUGGUUAAUAGAUUUGGACAUAACAAUUUGAAACUAAAAAAACAUUAAUUUGGUAUUGUUUUUAAAUUUUGGAUGUAACUUUUUGUUAAUUUUUGAAAUAAAAAAUUUGACAUGCAUUUUAAGUGAGUAGCAAAACUUUUUCUCCGUAAUUUUAUGUAUGUCAUAUGAAUUUAAAAUAUGUGUAGUAUCAAUAUAAAUAUUUUAUAUAAAAUGAGAGAUGUAAACUAGAUUCAGAUUUCAGUUCGGGUUUCGGUUCAGAUUUUGGUUCGGGUUUUUCGGAUUGGAUUGGGUUCGGAUGUCACUUCAGAUAUUGAAUAAAGUGUCCACCCUUGACCAACACAACAUUGGUGGUUAAAACUCAUAGUUUACCAAAAAAAUAAUCAAAACUCGUUUAGAUGCUUUGUAUUUAGCUAAUUGUUUUAAAACUCAGUUUUUCUAACCACCAUAAACUAUUCAAACUAUUUUAACAACUUUUCUAAAAAAAGACUAUAAAAUUAUUAUUAAUUUUGUUAAAAAAUUUUAAUCUACUAGUUGAUCAAUGAUUCAUAAAAAAAUUUAAAUUUUGAUUUCAAGAUUUAUAGAAAUUAACGGAUUUAAAAAAUUAAAUAAAAAUCAUAUAAAUAGUUUCAUCUAAGUUUAAAAUAUUGAAAAAUCAGUUUAAAAAAAAAAGAAAACAUAAAAGAAAAGAAAAGAUGUAGAGAAACGACGGGUGCCUGCUGGUGUAGGAUAGAAACAGUGUAUGUGGAUGUAGCUUAUAACUACCCAAUCCCGUUGAACAUAUUUCCUCCGACCAGACCAUCCCCAGAAUAAUAAUAAUAAUAAAAUUCAACGGAGGCCGCCUUCCCUUCACCGGAUCACCUUCCUUCCUUUGGAUCUAUCUUCCCAUUCCGACGGUUCUUCGUUUCUCAGGUCUCCUCUUCCUUUCUCAUCUAUUCCCUUUUUAAAUCCUUUUUUAUUUUUUGCUUUAAUCGCUUGUUUCAUGGGCGAUCACUUUUCUCUCUUGCGAUCGGUGAAUUUUGAUUCUUCUGUCUACCCAUAAACCUCGUGUUGACAUGUGUUUCGCGAUCUAACAAUAUAUAUUAUUAGUGUUUACGGAUUGUUUUAGACAUCAAUCAUCGAUCCUCUCGCUGAGGAAAAUUGCAGUUCCUAGUCUUGCGAACUGUUGAUUUGUUCCUAAUUUGGGGGUUACUGAUCCUAGAGGAAUUGGAUUUCAUUAAUCUAUUUGAUUCAUCAUCAUCAUUAUGUGUUGCGUGCAGAGUAUCAAUAAUCAAUCUACCUUGGAACAAUGAGUGAGGUGUUUAACGGAUACGAGCGCCAAUACUGCGACCUCUCGGCCAACCUCUCCAAGAAAUGCUCCUCUGCUAUUGCCCUUGACGGAGGUAAGUAAUUCCAUAUCAUCUCUUGCUCCUCAUCCACUGCCCCUAACUUCCUUCCUCUUUUAUGAGUUACUACAAGCCUUUCUCUGCUUUCCAGGGCCGGCCCUAGGCCAUGCUAGGUGAAACAUUCGCAACAGGCCCCUAAAAUUUUUGAAAAAAAUUACAUACAAAUAAGCCCCAAAACAAAAUUUCAUACAGCAGGGUCAGACCUCCAGAAUCUCAGGUCUGGCCCUGCUGCUUCCCUUUGAAAGCUGAUGAUACCUUUACUGAUUGAAUUGCAGAACAAAAGAAGCAGAAGCUCUCUGAGAUAAGAUCUGGCCUCGAUAAUGCUGAAGCAUUGGUAUGUGUGACUCUGGAAUAUAGCAGUUUUUUCUUUAUUGUCCCUUUUAACAUUUUUUCUUAUUCACCAGAUUAGGAAAAUGGAUGUUGAGGCGAGGAGCCUUCCACCGAGCAUUAGGACCAGCCUCCUUGUUAAACUAAGAGAGUUCAAGUCCGAUCUCAACAACUUCAAAAGCGAAGUCAAGAGGAUCACAUCUGCUAACUUGAAUGCUGCUGCUCGCGACGAGCUGCUUGAAGCUGGUCUGGCUGACACAAAGACGGUAUGUAAAGAGAACUCACUAGUAUCUUUUUUGACAUCUUUUGAUUGAUCUAUGACAUUUGAGGGCAGGCUUCGGCUGAUCAAAGAGCGAGAUUGAUGAUGUCAACCGAUCGAUUGGGUCGAACCACUGACAGAAUCAAGGACAGUCGAAGAAUGAUGAUUGAGACUGAAGAGCUUGGAGUUUCUGUCCUACAAGACUUGCACAGUCAGAGACAGUCUCUCCUUCGCACUGGCGACACGGUAUGUACUCUCUUCUUCAGCACGAUUUUAUCAUGAAGAAGACUACGUUUUAUUUAUAUACUACUUGUGAUUGGUGUCUCUUUUAACCAAAAGUUAGAACUCUGAAACAUGCAGCUUAGUGGAGUAGACGAAAAUGUCGGAAAGAGCAAGAAGAUCUUGACGGGCAUGACCAGGGGGAUGAACAGGAACAAAUGGACCAUUGGAGCCAUUAUCACCGCUCUGGUCGCGGCUAUUAUCCUCAUCUUGUACUUCAAACUCACCAAGUAAUCCCUCUGUAUCUAAACUCUUUGUCGCUGAACAAAUGGUGUGUAUCUUUUAUUUAAUCCUUUUCUGGCUUUCUGUGUGAUAAGUUAUGUCUUUGCCACCUUUUGUAUUAUCACGUUCUCUUGUUUGCGUUUGCGAUUACAUUUGUGUAUUUUAAUACUGAAUGAUGCAAAUUGUUUUGUUUUAUUAUUACUAAACGCAAGCGUAAAUUACAUUUCAAACAAUUAGAGCCUAAGCCUUGAGAUUGAGAACUAGUUGUGUGUUUUUCUUUCAUUCUUGAACCUGUUAUAAUCAGCGAGCAAGCUCUCAAUAACCUUAUGUUUCAUGCUAUCCACCAAACCAGUCAAAAUCUGUAGAAACCAAAUCACAACCAAACAUUAUUUACAAAGCUGAAAUAGUGGAAAAUAUCGUUUUCGAGUUCUCAAACGCAUAUAAGAAACCGUUUCUAACCGCAUUGGCCACGCUUCUCUUAACAUCUUCGGGUACAAACGCAAGAACCGAAGGAAGGACGAAGCUUACGUUCAUCUCUAAUUGACCUUUGAGCCUUGUGUGGCUUCCGCCUCGGUCUGGGUACAAUGCUCCUUGAACUCCCAGAGUGAAAUCAGACUGUUCCAUGACCUGGCCAAGCCCUUGAAGCUCCCAUUUCAUCUGAAGGUAAACCGUUAAAAGGGAACAAAAGAGUGAGAAUCGUCAAGGGUUGUGUCUGUUUCUAUUACCAUGUUAAGCUCAAGAACUCUGGUUAUGUCUAGAGGUACAUCAGGCGGGUAAUCUUGACCGUUGGAUUUGCAUCUAAUUCGCAUGUCCACCACUGGCCUUGCAGUGAGGAAGAGGAAAUUUAUAGGUGACAUAUGAAUUCUCCAUUCUUCCUGCACAAAUAAAAUAUUGUUAGAUACCGAAUGCAUUCCCACUUACAUAAAAAGUAACACAUAUUAGCUACCUCGUUAAGCCUAUAGCUUCUAGGUUUAUCAGGAAACAUUGCUUUGAAAACCCUACACUUAUCCUCCAAAUACUCAUCGAACAACGCCUGAACUUUCCCGAAACGCGUCAAACACAUACACUGUUGUACAGUGAUGCAUAUAUAUAACUCAUUAUAGGAAAUGAGAGUGAGAAUGAGACCUGAGGAGACUCGUGCAAUUGAACAUCGGUAGAGAAUUUAGAUGAAUACUUGGAGGCUUUUACAGUUGACAACUGGCACUUGGCUCCUGGCCGUAAUGUUCUCAUCUCCGCCGCUGUAGACCUGAUUCUUCCCAGCAUUGUCGGACACGACAAAACUGUUGAGCUGACAGCCAUGUUAGUAGUCUCUCUCUAGGUUUUCAAGAUUGGAUGAUGUUUGAUCUUUCCCACAUGUUUGAAAGAUAAGGGGAUAUGUGUCUUUCGGCCUUGUAUGUAGACGUGGUAUAUCGAGGGACUAUCCACCUCAUCAACAUUUUGAAUUCUUGGCCCUCUUUGAUUUACUCCUUUAUUCACGUUUUUCUCACUAUUAAGAAGAAGACAAUCUUGUUGAACAAAUAAUUAAAAAAAAGAAGACAAUCUCUUUCUCUCUAUACUCUUUCAGUCUUUCUUCGGUUCUCUGUUAUGAAAACAGUCUCCUUUCUUUCGGCUAAAUCAGGUCAAUAACAGAAAAUUGUGUGUUUUUUUUACAGUGUUCUAAAAAUUGGUUUAGAUGACACAUUAAAAAAAGUCUAACCAUACAUUUAAUCAACAAUCUUCGUAAAAAGUAUAACUACCGCCUAACGAUUUUUUGCAUUGUUUUUCUCUCAAAAUAUUACAAUUGACAGAUUUAAUAUUCAAAUAUUAUAGUUACUCCAUAACUAAUAGCUCGACGGCAUAAAAUUGACAUGAUAUAGUCAAUAGUUUCGUCUAUUUUUAACAGUUGACUAUUAUAAUCCUAAUUUUUUUAAUUAUAAUCCUAGUUUUAUGGUGUAUAUAUAUACUAGUUGAUACAAGUUGUUUUGUUUAAUAUAAACGUAUACGCCAAACAUGGCGCAUAAAUUACAUUCAAACCAUUAAAGCUUUAGCCUUGAGAUUAAAAACUAAUGAUGUGUUCUUCUUUCAUUCUUAAACCUAUUAUAAUCAUCGAGCAAGCUCUCAAUAACCUUAUGCUUCAUAUUAUCCACCAAACCAUUUAAAACCUGCAGAAAGCAAAUAAAAACAUAAGAUAAUAUAUAAAUUUGGAAUAUAGUGUUUUGAAUUUGCAAAUGCAUUUAUUUCUAACCGCAUUGGCAACGUUUCUCCUAACAUCCUCUGGUACAAGCAUGAGAACCGUAGGAAGCACGAAGCUAACGUUCAUCUCUAGUCGACCUUUGAGCCUUGUGUGCCUUCCGCCUCGGUCUGGGUACAAUGCUCCUUGAACUCCAAGGGUGAAAUCAGAUGGCUCCAUGACCCGGUCAAGCCCUUGAAGCUCCCAUUUCAUCUGAAAAUAAACCGUUCAAAGAGAACAAAAGAGUGAGGUAUUUAGACUUUUUAGUACUUCCUCCAUUCAACGAAGAUAUAAAUCUUGGAUAUUUCACACAAUUUAAAUAUAAAUUUACAAUUCUAAAAUAUUUUUUUAAUACCAUAAUUUAAAAAAAAUCAAUUUAUUUCAACAGUAUUGUCUUAAUCAAUAUGAUCAGUAAAUAAAGGUAAACAAUUAUUCAUAAAACUUUUCUCUUUCUGAAACAAUUAAAAAUGUCAAAACUUGUAUUUUUGUGGAAAGGAGUGAGUACCAUGUUAAGCUCAAGGACUUUGGUUAUGUCUAGAGGUACAUCAGGCGGGUAAUCCUGACCGGUGGAUUUGCAUCGGAUCCGCAUGACCACCACUGGCCACGCAGUGAGGAAGAGAAAUUUUAUUGGCAACAUUUGGAUUCUCCAUUCUUCCUGCACAAGUAAAUCAUGUCGGUCUUUUCGUUAGAGUAACCAAAGAAUGCAACCCAGAGCCGUGCCUGACUAGAGGCUGAUCAAGCACUUGCUUGAGGCCAAAACGUAGAUAAAUAGUUUUAUGGGCCAAUUUCUUGGCAAGAGUUGUCUACAGAACAGUUGGUAAUAGUCUGUAUUAUUACUCUAGGGUCCCGGGUUCAAUCACGAGUAUAGCAGUUUGACCUUUUUUCCAAAAAAUUUAUAGUUUAUGGGGCAAAUUUUUUUUAGUGCUUUAGGACCCACAAUAUUCAGGCAUGGCCCUGAAUUGCAACCCCACACUUAUAAAAAUGGAACAUGGAUGUUACCUCGUUAAGCCUAUAGCUUUUGGGUUUAUCAGGAAACAUUGCUUUGAAAACCCUCGACUUAUCCUCCAAAUACUCAUCGAACAACGCCUGAAGUUUCAAAGCAUUACAACACAAACAGUUUUACACUGAUGCAUACAUAUAUAACAUUAUAGAGAUUGAAAGUGAGAAAGAGAUACCAGAGGAGACUCGUGCAGUUGAACAUCGGUAGUUAUUUUAGAUGAAUAUUUGGAGGGUUUUACGGGUGACAACUGACACUUAACUCCCCACCGUAUUGUUCUCAUCUCCACCGCCACCGACCGGCGUCUUCCGAACAUCUUCGGGCAUGACAAAACCAUUGAGCUUACAGCCAUUUUACCAGUCUUUCUCUCUCUUUUUUGGUCUUCAAGAUUGGAUGAUAUUUGAUCUUUCCCACUUUUCUCUCUCUCUAUAUUUAUAUAUAUCUUCAGAGGAAAGAUUGCGUCUUUGCUUCUCUUUAAUACGUUUAGAGACCUUUGUUAAAGAAAAUAGAGACAGAGAGUAACAUUCUCACGGUACGCAUUUGGAAGAUAGUGGAUUUCGAGAAAUAAUUGUUGAAACAUUGCUUUUCAACCUCUAUAGUAACCGGGUACAUAUUCGGUUUGGUUUAAUUGUUUCAGGUUUUGUAAGAAAUAUAAGUCCACUUCAUUUAAUUUAGUUUAGUUUGGUUUGGUUUAGUUAAGAGGUUACCCAUUUAUUUUGCCAUCUACGUGGUGAUAAUGUAAAGCCUCGUCUGUCACGCAGUUGUUGAUGAGAGUGACACGAGAACAUUGAACGUUGAGAAUAAUCUGUAGAAUAACUUCUAUCACACGCAGAGGUUUUGAAAAAAAAAAGAAAAAGAAUUCAUUGCUUUCGAAACCGACAAACUCUCGGACCGAAUACUAAGAAACCGGUUUACUUUGGCGCCUAGGAAUAUGGGUUACUAACUUUGACUUUUAAUGUAAGCAAUAAGCAAAGAUCUCUUGUUGUUUGCAACUCUUUCAACUCUAUAAUCUUUGUUUUUCAGACUGGCUAAGUAAAUUAAAACAUUAAAAUCUUAUAUAGUAUGUUACGAUGACUGUUCAUAAACGAUUUGUUCAUGUUGGAUUGAGAAACUAUACAUGGUUGAGCAUUGACAUUAAAAUUCGGCUUUAGUAGAUAACUUGUGUAAUCUUCUCUCGUUCUUGAACCUGCUAUAAUCAGCGAGCAAGCUCCCAUUAACCUUAUGCUUCAUAUUCUCCACUAAACCUGUCAAAACCUGUAAAUGGGUCCAAAUCAGAUCAUGUGUAAAUCAUAAGAGAUAGUCAAAUAAGGUUUUACAUACCGCACUGGCCAAGUUUCUCCUAACGUCUUCAGGUACCAAUUCAAGAACCGGGGGAAGAACAAAGCUUAUGUUCAUCUCUAGCUGACCUCUGAGCCUUGUGUGCUUUCCUCUCCGGUCUGGGUACAAUGCUCCUUUGACUCCCAAACUGAAGUCAGACGGUUGCAUCACUCGGUCAAGCCCUUUAAGUUGCCAUCUCGUCUGAAAAGAAGCAUUUAAGAGUUUGAGUAAUGGAAGAUGAAGAAACGAAGAGAGAGAAAAGUUAUUACCAUGUUGAGCUCAACAACUUUGGUUAUGUCUAAAGGUACGUCUGCCGGGUAAUCCUGACCGUUGGAUUUGCAACUUAAACGCAUAUCGACCACAGGCCACACAGUGAGGAAGAGGAAAUUAAUUGGUAACAUCUGAAUCCUCCACUCUUCCUGCAAAAAUUCAAUUUAUCCAAGUAGACUUAAAAUAGUGAAAAAGGGGGCGUUCCGAGAAUUGAACUCGGGACCUCUCGCACCCUAAGCGAGAAUCAUACCACUAGACCAAACGCCCGUUUUGAACGUGUUUUAUAUAUAACUAAUGUUAGUCAUAUUAGUUGACGUACCUCGUUAAGCUUAUGGCUUCUGGGUUUGUCAGGGAACAUGGCUUCGAAAACUCUCGAUUUAUCCUCUAAAUAGUCAUCAAACAACGCCUAAAAGUUCCUCAAAAUCACAUUUAAGAAACGCACCAAAACAGUUUAAACUGAAUCGUGUUAUAGAGGGAGAGAGAGAAGGAGACCUGAGGAGACUCGUGGAGAGGAAUAUCUGUGGAGAGUCUUGACGAAUACGUGGCAGGUUUUAUGGAUGAUACCUGACACCUAACUCUCCACCGUGUAAUUGGUCUCAUCUCCGUCUUCACCGGUCGGUAAGUUCCGAACAUGGGCGAUGACAAAACCGCCAUUUCACCGAUUAUCUUUUCAAUAUCAGAACUUUUAUAUAUUCCACAUUUCUCUUUUGAUUUCUCUCUGAAAGUUAAAAACUUUUGAAAGAACUUUUAGAUUUCUCUAGAGGAGUGAAGUUGCUUUUUGCUAGAGAUUUUGGAGGGAUAAGGGGAUAUCUGUCUUUCGGCCUUCUAUGUCGACGUGGCAUAUUUUGAGACUAGCCACAUCAUCAACAUUUGGAAUUCGUAGGGCCCUUCUUUUCUUUGUACUCCUUUCGGACUUUUCCUUUCCGUUAGUGGAUGAGAAUGACACGAGACGAAACUAAAAAAAAAAAAAACUCAAAUGUAUUAUCUGACGACAAAGGAAGGUUCGACAAACUAAACUCAAUCCUUAUUUUACAUUAGUUCCACUGUACAUGUUCUGUCAUAUUAAAAGAUCAAGAAUAUUCAAAUCCUACGAGCAACGCAUUAUAUUGUCGGAUGAAUUUCCUUGAAAGUGUAUGGUUUGAAAUUUCAGGACUGUAGAGGGCACACAGAUGAUCCUCCUAAAGAAUGUAGAUAUCAAACCUUAAGUUCUGUGAUUUGUUCUUCGAUUUCUUGCUUAUAAAAGCAAACUAAAAUGAAAUGUGGAACGUAAAUGCCACAAUUGAUUCACGGCUUCGUUGAGCUCACUUCACUCUCUUUGUUAAAACUCAAAUACAUCUCGAUCUUCUUAGUUCCAACAACCAAAGAGGAUACAAAAGACAAUCUUUCACGGUUUAUUUCUAACAUUAGUAAGAAAAGGACUCGUCUCUUUCUCUCUUAAUUCCUUCACGGUUAAAACCUCAAGUCAAACCGUCAACACACUUAUGGGCCUUAUCCAUUUCCUAACUGGGCCUUAAUUUUAAUUUUAAUUUCUAGUCCAAUCGGUAAUCGCUUCGAUCUGUCGGUAGACAGAAUAGAAUAAUGGUUUCGCCGGUUAAACCAGUCGGCAAUCGGUACGAUCAGAUUGCAUAAAAGCAAAUCAUAAUAAGUCACGUGGCACAGUUUACACGGUUCGUAGACUCGUAGUGGUCGCCAUGUAAACAGCGGGAAAACAGGGCCCCACACAUAUUAACUAAGGAGUAGGACCAACAAAAUCAUCACCACGAAACGCAGCGUUUCCCCUUCGUCUCCGCGUUUAAAAUCUUCUUUCACCCUUUCGUCAUUUCGUCAGAUCCAAGAGAGAGAGAGAGAAAUCAGAAAAAGAUCUUGAAACGAUGCCGUACUACACCAGAGACGAGGAUGAAGUCGACGAUUUCGACGAGUUCGAUCCGACGCCGUACAGUGGAGGCUACGACAUCACCGUGAUCUACGGCCGUCCGAUCCCUCCUUGCGACGACACUUGCUACCCUCUCUCCUCCGCAGCGGAUGAAGAUUUCGAGUACGAGAGACCUGAAUUCACCUCGUACCACGAUCCUUCCGCCUACGCCGAAGAAGCUCUCAACCCCGAGUACAGCAGCUACUCCCGCCCCAAGCCCCGUCCCGGUUUUCGACCCGGUUCUGCCGGAGGCGGUCACGUCCAAGGUGAGCGACCCGAUCAGAGUUACGGAUCCGGUUACGGUGGUCAGACGGAGGCUGAGUACGGUAGGAGACCUGAAUCGGGGUACGGCGGAGCCACGGAGACGGAGUAUGGCCGGAGACCUGAGCAGAGUUACGGAUCUGGUGGAUACGGUGGCAGAUCGGAGGUUGAGUCUGGUGGCUAUGGUGGUAGAUCAGAGGUUGAAUCUGGUGGAUACGGUGGAAGAUCGGAGUCUGGUGGCUAUGGUGGAAGAACGGAGGUUGAGUAUGGCCGGAGACCUGAAUCUGGAUAUGGUGGGAGAUCGGAGACGGAGACCGGGUACGGAUCCGGGUAUGAGAAGAAACCGAGCUUCGGUGAAGAGAGGAGCGAGUAUGAGCGCAAGCCUAGCUAUGGAAGGUCUGAGGAUCAAGAGGAAGGAGGUUACAGGAAGCCUAGCUAUGGGAGAUCUGAGGAUCAGGUUGAGAGCUACAUAAAGCCCAGCAGCUACGGGAGGUCUGAGGAAGAGGAAGAAGGAGGCUAUAGGAAGCCUAGCUAUGGAAGGUCUGAGGAACAGGAGGAAGGGAGUUACAGGAAGCCUAGCUAUGGCCGUCGUAAUGAUGAUGAUGAUGAUGAGGAGCGCAGGAACCGUUCCGGUGAUGAUGAGGAAGGGAGCUAUGGCCGCAAGAAAUAUGUAAGUUCAAUAAGUUAAUUAUAUAAAGUUAUAGUCAAUUUGCAUCUAGAUUAUUGUGUGGAAAUUAAGUUUAUUGAUUGUUUAAACAUAAAACCCUUUUGUUGAUGGACUGAUCUCAACAUUGAAACUAAAGAUUAUAGUUUUGGUGAUAACAUCCAUUACCCCCUUUAACUUCAUUCGUUCAGUAUUUGAUUUAACAUUGACAUCUUGUAGGUUAUAACAAUCAUAGUACAGAACUUGCAUUGUGUUUUUUGCGUCUCGUUUGUUUUGAAAAUAAGUUUUAGUUUGGUUUUGAUCACAGUGUAGCGGUGUAACUCUGUUUUCACAUCCUGAAAUGGAGUUCCUUAAUUUGAAAGCUAUGUUCUACAAUCCCAUAAUAACGUUCCUGGUUCAAUGUUUGUUUGAAUAUAGACAUCUUGAAUAUGUCCCAUUGUUGAUCUUAGUGUAGAGUAGUCUCCAUGUUGAACUAAAGUGUUUGUCUUUCAUACCCUGUAACUCUGUUUUCACAUCCUGUAAUGGAUUAGCCUCGGUUGAAAGCUAAGUUCUUUGAUUGAAAUUGCACAUCAUGUAUAUGACAUUUGAAGAUCAUAGUUACAGAGUAUCUAUCUCCAUUGUUAUGGUGACCGUUAAUAGAGGCAUCACUGACUAAAGCUUUCGCUUAACGUUAUUCAUCUCUGCAUCAAAUUCUGUAGGGUGGCAAUGACUCUGAUGAUGAUGAGGAGAAGAAGCAGCAGCGUUACAAGCAUCACCACCACCAGAGGCGUCGUGAUGAAGACGAUGACUAAAGCCCUCACUCAGUGCUGGAAUCGAGUGCUUCUACUUAGCUUCAUAUUACUAAAUAAAAAGCUAAGGCAUAUUUAUCUUUGGAUGUUGUUGUUGUGUUUGUUUGAUUCUCUCUAGAUACAGCAGAGUCUGUGUCUGGGUUUGUUUCUGGUUCAUUAUAAGACCUUGAAUUGAUAUCGGGUCAUCAUCAUGAUGUUAAACUGUUGCUACUCUGUGUUUCGUUUUUAUUUAUGGAACUUUUCUCUUUUAUGGCUUCUGUUGUUUUGGUUUUGUCGAUAUUAAUAUUAAAAAUCAAAAGUCAUUGCCGAGAAGGAAAAAUAUUUUGUGGUAAAAGCUAGAUUCGAUUUUUUAUACUGAAUAUUUUAUGAUUAAAAACAGAAAAAAGAAAAUCGGUUUUGUAAUAGGAAUGGGUUAAUCAGAUACCUAUAUGUACAUUACACAUCUUUUUGCUUCAACAUCAGAAACUUACAACCAAACAAUUCUAAAAGAAGCAAUGUCAAGCGCUACAGUCCUCGAUGAAUCUAGCGUUCCUAGCCCCAGGAGUACAUGGAGGUGAGAUUCCACUAAAUAUAUUGUUAUGUAACAUAAGAUUUUUGAUUAUAAACAUUAUUAUACUGAAACGAAUUUUCUGGUUGGUUGCAGGAUGGACGGGCAGUUACGAUACGACAUUGCGAUGAACACCAUCAUUAUAAUCCUCAUCACUGAUGCGGUCUUACAUAUGACUCUGAGAGCCCACAAGAUUCCCCUUGCUGAUAACGUUGAGGGACUUUUAUGUACAUUUGUAGUUGCGUACGUGUUUGUCAUCACGACUAAUUGCGGGUAUUGGCUUACAGCAAGCGAGGAAGAAGGGUGUUUACUUGGAAUUUACAUCACGGGACGCCUUGGUCACACGUUAGGCUUUUGUAUUUUCCUCUGUCUCCUCUAUUCUAGUUCUCACUUGGCUAUGUACGUUGCUCUACCUUGUUUACUAUGUUUGGUGCCAGCCAUGUUUGCACCGUGUUGUCCAUGUCUGUGGAGAGGAGAGUCAACUUGGUGGAAUUUUGUGAAGCAACCACAACCAACAGUAGAUAUUGUUUAACUUUUGGACUAUUAUUAUUAAUAGAAUUUUUUAAUUCCUAAUUUUGUAAACAUCUCGUCAAUUGUUUGUUCUUAACUUUUCUCUCUUGCGAUCGGUGAAUUUUGUUUCCACUGUCUACCCAUAAACCUCGUGUUGACAUGUGUUUUGCGAUCUAACAAGAUAUUAUUAUGGUUUAGGGAUUGUUUUAGACAUCAAUCCUCUUUUGAUAUGGCUGAAGAAAAUUAAGAGUUCCUAGUCUUGAUUUGUUCCUGCUUAAUGUAAUUUGGGGAAAGUGAUCAUUUAUCUUUUGGUACAUUAUCAUUGUGUGUUGCAUGCAAAGUAUCAAUCUACUUGGAACUUAACAUUGCGUUAUUUGCAUCUAGCUUGUUUGGAAAAUAAGUUUUAAUUUGGUUUAAUCCCGUUGUUGAUCACAGUGUAGUGUGAUCUCAAUGUUGAACUAAAGAUAUCUUUAGUUUGUUCUUUAGAUUCUUUAUGAGUUACUACAAGCCUUUGUCUGCUUCCCUUUGGUUACAGGCUUGUCAUUACUAGUUGUAGAUCAUCAUUGAUUUUGCAGAACAAAAGAUGCAGAAGCUGUCCCAAAUAAGGACACAAGGACAUAAGUUUGUGCUUUAGAUCCUUUAUGAGUUUAUCUUCAGUUUUUGCGUUUUAGAUCCUUUAUGAGUUAUUACAAACCUCUCGACUCUUGUAAGGACAUAAGAUCUGUGCAUUAUCUGGUUACUGGCUGUACAAAGAGCUUGUCAAUUACUAGGUGUAGAUCAUCAUUGUUUCUGUUUGUUAAGAUGCAUUGAUGACACCUUACUCAUUGAUUCCCGAAACAAAAGAAGCAUAAGCUCUCUGAAAUAAGGCGUGGCCGCAAAAAUGCUAAAGUGUUGGUAUGUAGUCUAAGGCAUAGAUCGAAUAAAGCAGCGUUUUCCUUAUUGUCCCUUUGCUUUGUACAUUUUCUUAUUCACCAGAUUAGAAAAAUGGAUCUUGAAGCCAGGAGCCUUCCACCAAGCAUUAAUUCCAGCCUCCUUGUCAAACUAAGAGAGUUUUCAAGUCUGAUCUCAACAACUUCAAAAGCGAAGUCAAGAGAUCGAUGAGGUCAGCUGAUCGAUUGGGUCGAACCACAGACAGAAUCAAGAGACUGAAGAGCUUGGCGUCUCAGUCCUCCAAGACUUGCACAGUCAGAGACAGUCUUCCUCUCCUACGCACUAACGACACGGUAUGUGCUCUCUUCAACAAUUUUCUCUUACACGGGUUUUAUCAUGAAGAAGAAUACUACGUGUGAUUGGCAUCUCUUUUAACCAAUAGCUCGUUCUCUGAUACAUACAGCUUAGUGGAGUAGACGACAAUGUAGGAAAGAGCAAGAAGACCUUGACAGGCAUGACUAGGAGGAUGAACGGGAACAAAUGGACCAUUGGAGCCAUUAUCACCGCUUUGGUCGCCGCCAUUAUCCUCAUCUUCUACUUCAAACUCACCAAGUAAGCCUCUGUAUCUAAACUCUUUGUCGCUGAACAAAUGGUGUGCUGUAAGUAGUAACAGCUGAUGACGAGGAAGAAGAUAGAAGGAAGCUAAGACUCUGAGGGACAAAGAGGCUUCUGCAGUUACAGUGAAGCUACUGUAUAAAUAAUAUUAUAGAGGGAGUGAAAGAGAGACUUUAUCGAUGUAUUAGCUCAUGCCUCAUAGUUCCAGUUGAUACUCUAUAUUGUGAGAGAGAGUGAUACAGUUGUAUUGUGUGUGUUAUGGAUCAAUAGAGAUUUGGUUCAUGACAUCUGGCUUUUAUCUGUGUGAUAAGUUAUGUCUUUGCCACCUUUUGUAUUAUCACGUUCUCUUGUUUGUGUUUGCGUUUACAGUUGUGUAUUUUUAUACUAAAUGAUGCAGAUUGUUUUGUUUAUUAUUAAAAGCAAGCUUAAAUUACAUUUUAGACAAUUAGAACUUAAGCCUUGAGAAUAAGAACUAGUUGUGUGUUUUUCUUUCAUUCUUGAACCUGUUAUAAUCAGCGAGCAAGCUAUCAAUAACCUUACGCUUCAUGCUAUCCACCAAACCAGUCAAAAUCUGUAUAAACCUGGAAUAUAGCUGGUUCAUAAUAAGACCUUGAACUGAUAUUGGGUCAUCAUCAUGUAAACAGCUGCGACUCUGUGUUUUGUUUUUGUGCUAUGAAAAUUUCUUAUUUUAAAGCAUAACUUCUAUUGUUUUUCUUUUGUCCAUAAGAAAAUUUAUUUUGUCGUUAAAACCAAUGUGACCACACAAAACCACUUAUCUAAUCUAAUCUAGAAACAAUAUGAAACAAGCUUCCUGCCAAAGACAUACACCACAGUUACAACCACCUUUGAAAUCGACAUUCCAAGUAUAAACCAUCUUGGCCACAUGCUGUGAACAGUGGUUGAUCCUUCAGCUUCCUUACGCAGCUGUGAAGGUUCCAAAGAAGAGUGCGAUGACAAGCCACAGUAAGAACCAUCUAGUAUUGAGUUUUCUCCUCAGUGUCUCCGCUUUGUUGGCUUGUGGAGUUGUGCCAAGUUGAAGUACGUCGCCACGAAACCAAUGUUGUUGAGCAGGAGAUAGACAGUGUAACAUCGCGUGUCUCUGAAACGUAUGUAGCCAUUUGAAUCGAGUCCACUAGGUGGACUUGAGAAGGAAGCCACCGUGGUUAGGCCACCGAUGGCCAACACGAACUUGGUAAGUUCUUCUCGCUCUUUGUAAAGAGCCUCCAAAGGAUCCUGAAAUAAAUAAAGCGUAUGUAGCCAUGUGAUGUGGACUUGAGAAGGAAGCCAAUGUGGUUAGGCCACCGAUGGCCAACACAAACUUGGUAAGUUAUUCUCGCUCUUUAUUAAGAGCCUCCAAAGGAUCCUACAAUAAAGUGUACAAAUUUUGUAACUCAAAUCUUUUCCUCAUUCUCAGACAUCUCUCGUAGAAGACAUACUAACCGGUUUGCCUGAGAAAUAUAAAACUAAAUGUUUAAAGUACAUGCUUCUUAUAAAAUCAAUCUACAACUAUUCAAUAAAACUUGAUUUGCUUUUAUUAAACCCAUUAAAAGCAUUUACACACUCAAUCACACAACUAUACUUAAAUGCCACGACUUUCUCUUGUUCUAAAUAACUUUACGUCUUUACAUGUGUCUCAUUUGUAGACUUUCGUUACUACAUGUAACAUUUUUUCCAUGACUUUCAUGACCCGAAAUGAAGCUUUAAAAGUUCGUGAAACUAGUUUUCAAUAUAACAGUUCAUCAACUUAUCAACACAUUUACCUUAAUAUUCUAUGUUCCAAUAAAAUAAACAAACUUACUGCGAUUAUCGACGAAAUGGAGCUGAGGUUGAGGAAAGUCCUUGAUUUCCUAUCUUCAACAAAAAUAAAAAAGUAAAGAAAUGUUUUGCUAUUACAACAGCUUAUGUAGUGAUUCAGAUAAAACAAAAAAAUAAACACAACCUUCUGAUUGAUGCCACAUGAAAAAUGAUCAAUGUCUCUAAGCUUCUCAUCCUAAACGCCUUCCCCAUACAAUUUACAAAAUUUCUUCUCCUCUACAACUUUUGUCGUUAUGCGAAGAUGGUGACCCUCUGUUCAUUAAAUCGAUUGGGCUUUUUUUUCUUUCUUUUUUAGUAUCAUGUGCUUAAAGAUCCUAUUAUAAUAUUCUAAGUACGUUUUUCAUAGACGAGACAUCCCAAAUUUUUAUCUUUACUUUUCCUACACCAAUUCAUAGCUAUUUAUAUUUUGACGCAAACUAUAUAAAAUCGGAUCAGUUUACUCAAAACCCAGUACGUGGCUAAUCGUAAAAGAUACAUAGAAGUAUUCAACAAAUCAUUUCAUAUCAUUCAUUCAUUCACCCACAAAGAGCUCUCAAAUUGGUUUCGCAACUACAAAACAUCGAAUCCGUUCUUGGAUUAGGGUUUUGAGAUUGAGUCUCAUCAAUUUUUUUUGUUUCUUAUUGUAGAAAACUUUCACUUUGAGCUACAAGACAACUACUAGUGAAGGAGACCAGACAGUUCCAGAUCCGUUUCCAAAGUUGUUGGAUAAUUUAGGACCAUCUUUAGUACAUUUGUUCUUCGUCCCUGAGAAAAGAGGAGGAUCGAGUUAGGUUAAAUUUGCUACAGGUUAUGUCAAAUUGUGCGGGAGAAUGUCGGUAGUAAAAUGAACUUACUUAUGCACCUUAGUGUUUGUUAUCACACCUGAGUGUGUUGAGAUUCACAAUCUGAUUUUGAUGGAAGAAAGCGGGAAGAAACUAGUUAGCUACUUUCUUGAGAAUUCAUUUGUUCUCAAGAAACUCAUCCCGCGUUUUAGGGAUUCUUUAAUAUAUCUUACUCAGAUUUCUUCAAGGAGCUUCUUAAAUUCAGAAAGCGGUCUUGCAGUUGUCCGAUUAUUUUUCUUUGAGAAAUUGGCGAUUAGAGUUCAUUAUUUAUUUUGAUUUUGAGUAUCAUUGUGUAUGAAUUUCGUAUGGAUUGUAGAUUUUAUUAAAACCUGUUCCAUAAAGAUUUAUUUUUUGAUGGAAAAAGAGUAAACGACUUUAUAAGAUUUUGUUGCAGUUAAAAAUUAAAAGAUAAACAAAUAUAUAUUAUGUAUUUAUUUAUGAAAUAAGAAAAUUAAUUAAUACUUGAUUUGACAUUGUUAUCUUUAAGAAAUUUUAUACCUUCCAACAUGUUAAUAAAAUUGAUUACAUUAAAUAUAUCAACCGUGGCAGUUACAGCCCCCGAUUAAAGCAUUUGAUCUAGUCAGUAGAUUUCUUGGAAAUCAAGUUUCGAUUCCAUUUCAUUUGUGCAUGUUAAACGCCCUAGUAAUAGUUGUGCUGACUUCAAACAGAUCGGAGGCUUACUGAAUUUGAAUUUGGUCGACUUUGAGAAGGUGAACAAAAUUCGAUUGUGAGUUAUUUCAAAAACGUUUUUAUUGAUAAGAUGAAAAAGAGGUUACAGUGUUUGGACAUGUAAAGUAUAAAACACAAAUAUAAGUUGUUGUUUUUAACACUAGAUAAAUUACCAAUUACUAAUGAACAACUAUACAGAUAAUAAAGAGCCUACAAUACUUUGAAAUGUUCGAAGAGCUUUGCAUAUAAUAAUCUGUAAUAAACAAAACAUAAGUGUAAAAAUCUUUAAACAAUAACCAUUAAACUAUAGUGCUUAUACGAGUCGUAUUUGUUGAAAACAAAACAAGUAUGAGUCGUAUGACCUGAACAAAACAAAAUCGAAUAACAAACCGGAUCUAAUUGACCACUAACCGGAACCGGUUCAAUCGGGAAUUGACUCAAAUCCCAUUAAGCGGCGCAUCGCGAGAAAAAGAGCCAGCAACUGUUCAAAAUAUCUCAAUAGAUAGAUCAAAAAGCAAUCAUGGACACCAUCAUUCAUUAACAAAUAUCCUCUGAAACCUCCGUUUGAAUUAUUUCUAUCUUCUCACAUCGCAUCAUGGGUGCUUCAUCCUCUACAGAUAAUAAAGAAUCAUCGGAGAAGCGAGAAAUCGAAAGCCUCGCUGCUUCCACCGGUGCUCUUCCUCUGCUUCAACGAUUUUUCUCCAAGCUCGCCGAUCCUCAGACCAACACUGUUUCCUUCCAAUCAUUCAAGGUAAUAACGAUUAGGGUUCUGAUUGUUCUUAAAGAGAAUCUGGAUUUGCAGUUACAGUAGUUUUGGGAUUUGAUCGGAUCGUGAAUUAGUGUUUUGACACUGAGUUUGAUCGGAUCAUGAAUUAGGGUUUUGAGACGUUUCAUCAAUUUUUUUUUGUUUUGUUUCUUAUUGUAGAAAAGCUUCACCUUGAGCUACAAGACAACUACUUGUGAAGGAGACCAGAAAGUUCCAGAUUCGUUUCCGAGGUUGUUGGAGCAUUUAGGACCAUCUUUAGUAGAUUUGUUCUUCGUCCCUGAGAAAGGAGGAGGGUUGAGUUGGGUCGAGUUUGCUAGAGGUUAUGUCAAAUGCUGCGGAAGAAUGUCUGCCUCCAUGUCUUACAACACUCUGUUGAGAGUGUUUCAUCUGACAUCUCAAAACGCAGGCUUUUCCUCGAAGCUGGAGUUCGAAUCUGACGAAGCUGAUUGUAAGAUCAACGGGUCGGUUUCCACCGUAGAGUUGGUUAUGUUUCUGUGGAUGUGUUGGACGAUGUCGUGGGAUGGUCGAAGCAGUAGAUCCAGCGACUUGUUUCUUCCUGAUAUAAGCCACUUGGUUAUGUCAGCGCUUGUGUCUUGCACCGAGUCUGGAGCUAGUUUGGAUGUUUGGGAUUCUGAUGUUUUCGGAUUGGAGCUCGAGCUUCCUGUCGGGAAAUUCCUGACGUGGGCAUUGACGACGAUUCCAAGCCUCACUGAGUGUCUAUCUCACUUCUGCAACGCGAGGCUUCAGCAUUGUUUAAAUGCAGAGGUACUCUUUCUUUACCUGUUGCUUUUCAUUUAACCGUAUGGUGUUCACUAAAAGUGGAUUACAGGAUGGAUCUGGGCCUUCAAAGUCAGCUGGUGGAGAUGAUUCUGCGUCCAAGACAUGUGAUAACACUCUUCUAACAUGUGGAAGGGCAUGGGCGAUUUCUUUGACGUCCAAGAAUACCUUAAGUGAGGAGAUCUUGAGCUCAUGCUUUCCCUGCAAUGGCGAUGAACCCAAUGAAAAUCUUCUUUACCGGUAUCCCACUGUCCUACUUCUGUGAAGGUUCUGUCUCUAUAGUGUAACUUAACGUGUUCAAUGUUCAUCUGUCUUUCAGCUCAUACCAUCAUGGGAAAGGCAUGAAUCGAUUGUGGGACAACGUUCAAGGGUAUCAUGCUCCUAUACUAUUGCUAGUUUCUGCAAGCGGUGGAGUUGAGCAGGAGGGUAGUUCAAGCGAGAGGAAGUGGGUCAUUGGUGCUAUCUUGCAGCAAGGUUUUCAGAACAGAGAUACAUUUUACGGAAGCUCUGGGAACUUGUUCUCCAUUAGUCCUGUCUUUCACGCAUUCUCAUCUUCAGGUACUGCACACAUCAGAGAAUUUUCGUAGGCGUAGUCAGUUGUUUUGCAUUAGUGUAGUCUUAUAUGGUUUUGUGUUCAACUUCAGGGAAAGAGAAAAACUUUGCAUAUAGCCAUCUUCAUCCCUCUGGUAGAGUCUAUGACGCAAACCCAAAGCCUGUUGGAAUUGGUUUCGGGGGAACACAAGGAAACGAGAGAAUCUUCAUCGACGAAGACUUUGCUAAGAUCACAAUCCGUCAUCAUGCAGUUGAUAAAACUUACCAGCCUGGCUCUCUCUUCCCAAACCAGGUAACGCAAGUGCUGGUCUAUAUAUAUGAUUCAAGUUUUGUGGUCUUGGAUAUUUAUAACAUCUGUUGUUGCAGGGUUAUUUACCAGUAGAGGCUUUGGUGUCAGAUGUUGAAGCAUGGGCAUUAGGUGGAAAAGCAGCUAAGGAAGUUCAAGAAGCAUACAAGAAAAGAGAAGAGCUUUUCACUGACCAACGUCGAAAGGUAAGAAAAGAUCAAUAAGAUCUAUUUAUGCAAAUGCACAAAAGGACUUGCAAGUUUGACAAGUUGUUAUAUGUAUCUACAGAUUGAUUUGAAGACGUUUACGAAUUGGGAAGAUUCACCUGAGAAAAUGAUGAUGGAUAUGAUGGGGAAUCCUAAUGCUCCGGCUAGAGAAGAGAGGUAAUGAGUGAGGGGAGCAAGACUUGUUUGGUAUAUUUAUGCACAUACGUUUUCUCAAUAGAGGUUUCGUCUGUAAAGUAUAUAUUUGAAGAAACUCAUUUGCUGUUUGCGUAAGUUAUGUUUACUAUUAUCGUUGCCAAAACUCGAACCAGAGUGUUGAGUUUGAGAUUUACCCAAUAAAAAAGAGUUUUAUUUGAAGAGUUUUAUAGACGUUACAAUGAAUCAACAAGUAGAUAAUUGUGGUUUUAAGUUUCAACUAAGCAACUCUUUUCGUGUGAAAUGGUUUCCAGAGCUCUCUGCUUUCUGCUGAGAAUCAUCUCCAUCACUUUAUUCAUAGACUUGAUCUCCUCCUCUGCCUUCUUUAUCUUUCUUUCCUCCGACUCUUAUCUUCUUUCUUCUUUCUUCUUACCAAAACCAUUUUACUCUUUUCUUCAUCUCUUGCCUCACAGAUCCUACAACAAAGAAGGCCAUACCAAAACUUGGUUUUCUCUAAACCGAAUCAAUUUUAGUUAUAGUUCGGUUCAUCCUAACCCAAAAAAAAAACUAAAUGGCUUAAAAAUCGGUUAGACCUGAAUCUGGUUGCGUAAGCCUUUGGUAGAAGGUGAUGAACUUCAUAGAGAAGCUGUACAAGGGGGAUUAAAAUACUUGGUUUCUCUCCCAUUCAAGUUCCCUUACCUUUCUCUCACAUUCUUCUCUAUCCAUUCUCUAUCCAUUGUUCCUGUGUUAUUGUUAUUUUCUGGCCAUCUCAACCACCUAUGUAACUUCCCCAUCUGUUCUAGAGAAAUAGACCGAUGUAACUUCCCCAUCUGUUGAGUGGUACGGUAUUGUGCUCAAAGUCCCCUUGAAUACUAAAUUGGAAAUGUUGCUGUUGCUACGGUUUUGACGAUAGAAUAUAACUCAUAUGACAGGUUGGAAACUGAAUUAUUUUCUUUCAAACCAUGUCUUCAAAUCGAUCACAUUAGUUUUGGUUUUGCUUUUUGUUUCAAUGUUAAAUCAAUGUCCAUAAAAUUGGUUUUGUUCUUUUAUACUCUCACUAAAAAUAGCAGCAUUCUUAUUAAUAGAUGUAUACAUUGUGACAAAACUCAAUUCUAGUUAAUACAUCCUCUAUUUUUGAUGAAAAAUAUAAGUUAGAGAUGCUCUUACACAUUGAAUCCACAAGCUAAUGACCAACAAACUAGUUUAUUCAAAGUGCAUAAUUUACUAGCAAAACCUCCAUUAAAAACAGUGCUUGACAAACAUGAAUUCUCUCUUUCAAGCUCAAGAACAACGCUUAAACAAUAUAUGUAUCAGGUAGGAUUCAAAAGCUCUAAUCCGAAACAUGAAACAGAGUAUCACAAGGACAUGCAUAGGUAUUCAAAGCCUUAUCUGCUAUACUUCCUUUUAUCUGCUUUAAGUUUAUCCCUAAAAUCACACCAGUAUGUUGGCUCAUCUUGCAAAACAAGCCUCACCAGCUUCUUAUUGAGAAAAUGAAGACAUGAAUUAAACUUCAUGGUUUCUGAUCAAAAGUUGACAUCAAGAAAGAAACAAUACAAAUCUAUAUGUCCCAACCUGAAACCCAAAGCUUGAGACACAUAUCAAGAGUUAUACAUACCCAAAACUGAACAAGAGUAAACCCAAAUCAAGCGAGCAAGCAUAUCAUUGCUUCUUGUCUUCUGCUUUCCUCGGCUGCAAAAAAACAACAAACCAAACCAACACACACAAAGAUCAGUUCUCUCUUCCUCUCACAAUGAUAAAAUGUGUGAAAAGACAAACGGACCUUAACACCAGGAGCUUCUUGGUGAAUCUCUUCCUCAGGGAUGAUGACAGGCCACUGCUCCCCGGCUUCACGGAACAUCUGCUCCGUCUCGAGAUACUGCCCUUUAUCAAGAAUCAUCUUCCUGAUCGACUGAGCCGACGUGGCAGCCGCAUCGAAAGCUUCCUCGACACCAUUGACGAAAGUGACACUGAUCUGCGGUGGCUGAUCGUCGGUUCUGCGUUUCACCAGAACCUGACAGUUAGGGUUGGACUCUUUGGCCUUCCUCGCGUUGCACUGAGCCAAGAACUCGACGCAGGAGGCGAGUCUUGGGUCCAAUGUGUUGAACUCGAUCUUUACUUUUGAUAGGAACUUCAACAUCCUCUUCUCAAACCUAAAACAGUCAUUGAUAACAAAUCGUGAAGCGAGAUCUGAAGAUGAUUUCUACCAAAAUCUGAUAACCCAAUGAAAUUAAUAAGUAUACGAAAUUAAAUUGUGGGUUGAGAAGGAGAUCUCUGACUUACACAGGUCGACGGGGGCUCUCCGGCGAGAAUUGAUUUUAAGGGGAAAAUGCAGAAGAAACCGAUGCAGGUGGAAGGAAGACUGAAGAAAAGGGUUUUGGGCUUUCGACUGUGUAAAAGGACGAUAGUACCCUUAAUAUUUAUUCCCCUUUGCUUCGGUUUGGUUCGUUUUUCUGAUAGAGCCGCAGAGAAUUUUUGCAAUAAGGAUAGAUAACUAUUUUGAUUUUCUUGUAAUUGCAUUAACUUGAACUGAAGUACAAUGUUACAACGCUUAGGAAUCUAAAACAAAGCCCGAGAGAAAUAUGGGAGACACACUGCCGGCAAAGACACACCUUUCCAGAACCAUGACACUAAACAAGAGAAAUAAAGAAACUACAACAACAUAGACAACAAGAUUUUCAUCUAAAAACUUCAAUCUUUCCAUCAACACUGAUGAUAGGACCACGGCAAACCAACAUUGAAGAAAGGGAGAUAGCAAACCCCAACAGAAGUGUUAAAAACACCAGAUAAAGCACCAUUGGAAUAAAGGAUAAGGUGAUCUCUUGCUUAACCCUUGUCCCAAGGUAAUCAGAGACCCGGCGAAGCCACAAGUUCAAUACACCAUCCUACAAACAACUGUUGGAGACAACCACUCAACAAACCCAAACACUGGAAAGAGCAUGACACCUCAAAGAAACUACAAACCCCACUUCACAACCGGCAAGCGCAAAGAAGUAACCAGAACACGAACAACGCUCUGUAGCACCGGAAAAAAAAAACUGAUUUGGAGGAAGAAACAAAGCUAAUAUUGGAGCCACAAAGGAGACGACUCCCUUCCUACAGUUUCAUAAUGAAACACACCCGACAGGAAUCUGAACUUAUCAAGAAGAGGUUAGCAGCACAAAGGCAUUGCCCUCACUAGACGCCAAGAAACCCCAACCCGCAUGCGAGAACCGAGGAGAGGCCAGACCAGAACCCAACAACAUCAGAAGACUGCAUACCACCACACGAUCAGAGAACCGACGCAAAGACCAUCGAAAAGCAAACUCCACCAGAUCUACUACCACCCACAAAGAAAUAGGGAUGGCAAUAAAUAAUCUGGACCGCGGGCCUGACCCAUAAAGACUUACUGCGGGGCGGAAUCGGGCCACCUUGGUAAGCCCGCAAAAUAUAUAUGUAUUUUUUUUUUGAUAAAUGGUCAUGAAAACACACGAAGACAUUACAAAAUGAAGAUGCGAGUAUAAAUUAUACUAUCGUGAAAUUACAUCGCAGCUAUGAAUAUUACAUUUAUGUAACUUUAAAAUUUUAAAUUAUAUAUCUUCUUUGAAACGUUUGUCAUUUUUCUAUUAAUUUGGAGUAUUUCAGACCUGUGAAAAUCAUAAAUUUUAUCUUCUGUUUGGAUAUUUAAAUAAUCUGUAAAGCAUAAUUUCAUAUUAAUCUGUAAAGUAUAAUUUCAUAUCUACAAAAUCCUCUUGUAACCAACUAAACUAGAGAAGAAUUUAACAAAUAGUUGGCCCUUUAAAUACUUUAAUUAUCUAAGCCCCCAAGCACAUGCUUUACUUGCUUCCAUUCAGAGCAUCUAAAAAAAACUCUAUUUUGAAGUUUCUAAAACUCUAUAUUUGAAGUUUUAAGGUGUUUUUCUCCAAAAGCAAAACUUCAAACUUAACUUCAAAGCUAUUUGUAUUUUAUAAUAUGGUCCUAAUUUAAAUUCAUAAAACUUUUGUAUAUAACUAGCACAUAUGUAAACAUAUUACAAUAAUAUUAAUUAAUGAAAUAUUAUAUUAAAAUAUAAAAAUUUAAACAAAAUAACUUAACUAAUAUUAAACUUCAAGCAAAAUACCAUAUUAUUCCAUAAAGUGAUUUUCGUAGUGCAUAUAUGAUCUACUAGUGCAUUUUGAAUUAAAAAUAGUUUUCCUCAUUUUUAAUUUGUAGAUUAUAGAUAAUAAAUGUUGAAAUCGGGAGAUAUUAAUACUUGUAAAUACAUUAGAUCAGAACAAGAAAGUAAAAGACAAACAUAAAAUAUUUCUAAAAGACUAACUUUUAUCGAUGAUAUUAAUACUCGUGAAUAUAUUCAAUAUGAACAAGAAAGAAUUGUACGAAAAGAUAUCAUCAACAAAAACAACAACCAUCUUCAAUUACACCAAAAAACUAGACAAUAUUUGAAAUUUUGAAGGUUCCAGAUCAAACUUACCUAACUAUUAGUGUUAUUGUAUUAUUCAAAUUUGUGUAAUAGUUAUGUCUUUAUAUAAUUUUUUAAAAGUUUUUUUGUUAAGUUUCUUUUGUAUAUUUCUGUUAUAUAAAUCUAGUUUUAAAUAUUUUAAAUAUUCUUUUAACAAAAUACAAAUAAAAAUAUGAAACUUCAAAUUUGAAGUUUUGAGUAGUGAAACUUCAAAUAUAGAGUUUCACCUCUCAAAACUUCAAAUUUGAAGUUUUGAAGUUCAUUUUUAGAAAGUAAAAAGCUUUAUAUUUGAAGUUAUAGAGUGUCUUUUGUAGAUGAGCAUGGCUCUAUGUCUACUACUAUACUAUGUGAUUGUAAUUGGUUUAAGAUAUUUAAAGGUGUAUAGUGAUUCAGUUAUUGUUUAUGUAUUUAGGCAGUGCUGAAAAAUUAAUUCACGCAUGUUCAAUUUGAUGUUAGCAUUUUAAAAUCAGGUCGUAUGAAAGCAAGAUGAUCACCUAGACAAUUUUGAGUUUGACAUAACAAUAUAAUAUUUGAUAAAAUCUUUCAAACUUUGUUAAUAUGCUCACAAGUCAUAGUAUUACUAUUUGGUUGGUGGCCUAACACAUGUCUUUCGUCAUUGUGAAUAACAGUAAACAAAAUUGGUUUCUCACUUCUCUAGUUUCAAGAUAAAAUAUAGUAAUAAAUUUAAUGUUCUGGGUGGUAAAUUAUGAAAAAGAAGCAUCUCAUUAUAGAAACCUUUUUGGGUUAAGUAAAUGUUAUAAUCAUUCAAAAUUAGUUAUAAACUAGUAGAUUGCUGUCCAAAAAAAAGACUAGAUUAGGUCUAAGCAUUGCACAAGACAAAUGUAUUUAUUAUAUUAUUUAACUAACAAAUCUAUUAAAAUGCUAAUUCUACAUUGCAAAAUAAAUUGACUUCAUUAUUUUUUACAAAAAAUGUAACAAGAAUCUUCAUAUCUCACACGAACACAUGAAUUACAAGUCUACAACAGAUAUUACACCUCAGAAAUUCCAAAAGCAACCCGAUUCUCCCAUACCGGCUAAAGCGGAGGGGUCAGUACCAGUACCGGGGAACUGGGUUUCGUGACUGUUAAGCAACAGUUUCAUUAGCGAAUCAUUGUCUGUUAGAAACAGAGGAUCAGGGUAAAACAGAGGACCAGAACCGUCUUUGGACUCGAGAUGAAUGAGUCUUUUAUCUUCGGUUUCUUGGUCGGAGAAGCAGGUCACGUGAGUAGACGAACCAGGGAAGGAAUCUCGUUGAGAAGAAUCCAUCAACGAAGGUAAUCCGACCGGUUCAAUCCGGUUAACGUGUGAAUCAAGCAACAUUAAAUGGGACAUAUCAACCUUUGUACCAUCGGCACGUUUAUGGAAAACACGGCAAAUAACCCAAUCGUUCUACAUUCACACACAACAAAACAGAACACAAAAUAUCAAUUCAAUUCCACACAAAAAAAGACAAAAAAUGUCUUUGAUGUUAUUGUUACCUUAGCUGUCUGGGAGAGAUGUUGGAUAGAAUAUAUGCCUUCUAAUCGAUAUUCAUGCAUAACCCAAUUGGUUCUUACUCCUUUAGGAGCUCUUCCUUUGUAGAAAACCAGAGUCUUCUUCAUACCCACAAGUGAUUUCCCCUUGAAAAUCUCUUUAUCUUUGCCUGUGGCUUUCCAGUAACCGGCUUCAGUUGCCCGGUUUGUCCUUAAACCGGUUGGGUAUUUCCGGUCUCGCACACAAAAGAAAUACCAUUCUUUCUCCCCUAUCUUAGCUUUCCCUAUUUCACCAAAAGCCAUCACAUAUAUAUUUGUGAGUAAUAAUAAAUUACAGAACAAUAAUAACUAACAUAAAAAAGUUUAAAAAAGGUGGAAAAAGUUUAGAAAAGGCAUGAUACUUCAUGCAGUCUCAAACCAUUUGUAAAGUUUUGUGGAAUCAUGUAUAUUAAACAUAUAUAUUAUUUUUUUUUAACUUCAGAUAUAUAAAUUCAUAUUUACAGCUUUUGUUAUAGUACAAACGUUUUUUAAUUGCUGGAAAGGUUGUACACUUACUUGGUAACUCCCAAGGCUCGAUCUUGUUGAGAUCAACUUCACCAAUGGCGGUGGCAGAGAAGAAAGUGUUGAAGACCUUUUGUUUGAGAUAGUGAGUUAUGAGUUCUUCAUCAGUAGGGUGAAAUCUGAAUCCAGGUGGCAGAUCAAUUUGCUCUUCAUCUUCUACUAUUUCACCGAUUCUUGAUGCAUCGUAAUCCAUUUAUCCUAAUAAAGUUUAUUAGAAACAAUCAAAGUUAUGUAAGAGAGAAGAGAAGGGUUUUUGAAGAGAUGAAUAAAAGGGUUUUGAAGAGAGAGAGUGUGUUUUUUAAGAGAGAAGAGGAAAGGGUUUGAGCAACGAAGCUCCUCUCUAUAUACUAGUUUUCCAUCAGAGAAAUAAGGAAAUAAUAUUAUUAUUGUUGAUAUUGACCAAUAAUUGGUCAAUCUUUUGUGUAUCAAGUUCUUCUUUCAAAGUUUCAAACUAUGAGUUGUAUUGAAUUUCAAGAGUUUUUACCUACUAUAAAGAAAACUUUUAUCUUCGCUCUAAAUGAUUUAUUGUAUAUAAAUGGGUUUUCCGAUUUAAAUCUCGUACAGCCAUCAAAUCAUAUUAUAAAUCAGAAAAUGGGUGUACACACACAUUAACACAUACUAUAGUUAGUUUUCUUAGUAUGAUAGAGAAAGAGGAAGAUGCGUCGAUUGUUAGGCAACUUAAGAUGUGUAAUAUUCAAUAAUCAUUUCUCAUCAUUAAAAAUAAACCUUUCUAUUUCAAGAACUUUAAUAUUUCCAAGUUUCAAUUUGACCAGGAACACUUCACCUGUGGCUCCCUGUCCCUUUUUUGGUUAAUGUGAUAAGAACAAUCUUAUCACAUUAAAUCCUGAUGUUUUGUCCAUUCUUGAAACUAAUUAUUAGUUGCUGGAAAAAGAAUAUCAGUAGAAAACUAUGAUUAUUGGUUUGAAAACAUUUUACAUUGAAACUAUAUGAUUAUAUAAUUGAAACAUUAUAAAUUACCGCGGGUCACUAUUAUUGGUGUUGUGAUUCAGGAUAACUAUGAGAAAAGAGUUUACCAUGGUUGGAUAUAAUUUGUUUUAUUUACUUAACAAGUGUUAUCCCUCUCAUGAAAAGAUUAUGCAUGCAUGAACCUUGGAAAGUAGAUUCUUUAGUAUUAAAGGAACUCUUUUCUUUGUCCUAUUACAGUGCCUACCGUUAUAAGAAAUUAUAAUACUAGUAUGCAAGAUUUUUUAAAAAAGUUCAGUGAAAAAUUGGAAAGAAAAACGAUUUCCUUGUGAAGAUGGGUAAUGAUGAUGAAUGGAUGAGGAUUGUGAUGAUGAAAAUCUGUUAGAAUGUGAAGACAUUUUGAACAACCUCAACCUUAUCAUAUGUGAAUUAUUUGAUUUUUUUAAUGAUCGAAUCACGCGUUUGUGCAUACGAGGUUGUCAUUUGUCACUUCUACAACAUGUGCAUUUUAUUCUUUUCUAGCCAAAUUUCUUCCUCAGUAUUUUUAUUAUACUUGCUGUUUAAAUCCUUAUAUAAUCGAUGUAUUGGUAUUUUUAAUCAACUAUAGUUAUCAUAAAUUGGAAUUUGGAUCGAUACUGGAUAUAUAAUUUAUAUCUUUCUAUUGCACUCUUUUCUUUUCAACUAAUUUCCCAGACUCAAAAGAGAAAAGAUACAUAAGUUGCCAGAAAAAAAAUCAAUGUAUGUUUCACACUAAAAGAGCUAAUGACAAAAUUCAUAGUACAACAAAAAGAAUAUCAAUUCUAGAAGGCCAUAAAGCAACACUCAAGUGAUUGAUGGAACACGUGGAUUUUUCAAAUUAUGUUCCUUCUUCUCAAAAACCCGUUUAAGUUUCCUUGCCUUUUUGACCAAAUUCCCCAAUCUAUCAUUUGUCAAGUUGCUCCUCCAAAAAAUUGCUUAUACUCUUUUUAACAGAGAUGAGUAGGGUUACAUAGACAAAUUGGUUAUAUAUAUUAGGGGUGGGCAAAAAACCCAAACCGAACCGAACCGAACCAACCAAACCGAAGUUAAACCGAACCAAACCAAACCGUGCUCUUUAUGUAACCCAAUUGGUUCAUGUUUUACUCAACCCGAACGGUUUGGUUUGGUUUGGGUUUAAACCGAACCAAACCGAACCAAACCGAUAAUCCAAUAUAUAUAUAGUAAAAAUAUAUAUGAUAUAUAUAUAUGUAUUAACAUAUUGCAAAUUUUAGUUAAAGUUUCGUUUUUCAUUUUUUCAUAACUUCCAUAUCUUUAAAAAAAAUUAUAAAUACGAUUCAAAUAAUACUAUUAUAUAUAAAAUCAUGUAGCAUAAGUUUUUAUAUUCUCACUCUAUCGUUUAUGAGUUGAUUAUUUUUUAAUAAAAGUAUAAAACUAAUGCCUUCAUAUUUUAUAACCAACCCAAACUACACCGAACCAAACUAGACCAUAAUAAUGUAAACCAAACUAAAUCUAAACCAAACCGAACUGAACCGAACCGAAUUAAACCCAAACCGAACCCAACCCAAAGCUACUUUGGUUUUAAUUGGUUUGAGUUUUAUAAAACCCAAAUUACCCAAACCAAACCGAACCCAAACCGAACCCGAAACUAAACCGAAAUGCCCACCCCUAAUAUAUAUAGGGGUUAUUUGUGAAAUAACCAAAAAAGAGUAAUUAGUAUUUUUUAAUGAGAGGUUAGAAAGAAAUAGGAAGAGAAAUGAGGAAAGAGAUGGUUGUUUUGGUUAGAAAAUGAAUUUGAGGUUUUUAUGUAUAUAGGGACAUAUUUCCCUUAUAUACUUUUUGUUUUCAAAAACAAAAACCAAUAUAACUACCGCAUCAUUAUUUUUCAGUUUGUUACUGUGAAUGUUUUUGAUUUGAACGCCAUUGACUAGAUCAUGUCCAACUUCUUCAUGACCAUUAUUCCACUAUCUCUUUAUCAUGGCCUAAAACCUCGCGCAUUCAUAUCAAAAAUCUCAUUAGAAUCGAAUUGGAGAGUUUUCAAAACUCUAAUGCUUCUCCAUAUCAAACAUCUCAUUAAAAUCGCCAAAUAUUAUUCACUACUUCUUAGUUCUUACCUAUUAUGGGAGAGUUGUGAUGAUCCAUCAGUUCCCCAUAUAGAACUUCUACCGUUAUCGCUCUUCCUCGAAGUUAGAAGCGUAAAGUGUUUUAUGAUAAAAAGACAGAAAGGAAAUGGGAUGGCAAGAAACUUAUAGAAUUUUUGUUAUGAUCUAUAAUACAAUUAUUAUUACUUCGAUUUGUUUGAUUAUUUUUUACUCGUGGUUCUUUUACUAAUUGAUUAGUUAAGUUUGGCUACACUUGUUGUCUUAUAAGAUUGAUAUCGUAGAAAAGUGAGAAGCUUACAAAUCAGUUUGACGUUUUUGAUUGGGACUCGGAUAUAGUGGAUUCAGAGGAAGUGGAUGAAGAUUUCAUUGUCGACCUAAUGACUCUAUCAACUAGCAGACUUCUUUAGGAUAGGUUGGUGGCAAUUUCUGAAAUGCAACAGAGAUGAAUGCUACUUUAAGCUCAACUCAACUAAGGCAAAAGGAAGUCGAAUACAUAGGAAACAUGGUUGACGUGGUGGGUUUGGCUAACCUCACUAUGGUGACCAUGGAUAUCCUCUAGAUAGUUUUAGCUCUUGCCCGUUUCACUUUUAAGCAUUCAAGUUGCUUACUUGUUGCUUGUAAAACCUUUUCUAAAUUGCAACUGUUGGCUUUACUGUUGGCUUAAUAUAUAUGUACAAUGAGAAGGUCUAUUAAUAUUCAAUGGUGUGAGUUCUUCUACACACAUUUUCUUAGUGUGAGCCCGUCCCGUGCAUCAUAAACGUAGACCUCAUGUCGAAGUAGAACAUUCAAUUAUUUUUAUGAGAUGAGAGCAUAUAUCUACUACGAACAAAAUGCAUAUUAUUUUACUAAACAAUUGGGACGAAGAUAAUUUGUAUUAUUCGUUCCAAGUCCAACUGAGACAUUUUUUGCCAAUCAAUACAUUAUAUUAAAAUCUUCAAAUGAAGAUGAUGCAUACAAUACAAAAUUGAAAAGAUAAAUGGAAUGAUAAAAAGUUAGAAAAGAAAAGUAUAAGCCUAACAUCCAUGAGUCUCUAGCCUACUUCAAUUCUUGAAUGGAGCUAAACCAGACUUUCCAGUGGUAAAUAAAACUGAAACGUUCUUCUCGAUUAAUUGAGAUAUGUUGGCUAUUAACAAUGAUGAGUUCAUUUGCUAAGAACUUUAUGCUAUUUUUUUUUUAAUCAAAAUUUCUAAAGCUAAUCCUUUUUUCUAACACCUUUCUAAAGCUAAUCAAUCGUUUCCUUUUGUUUUAGGCUUUUAGCAGUUCUUUCCUUUUCAGGAAAUAUAAACUAAAUUCUAUAAAUCUUUUGCUACUUGGUGGUGCCAAAACCACGUGUCGCUUGAUUUUUUGAAACGGCAAGAGUUUCAUACGUAUCGCCAACCCCAACCUUCUCUUGGACACGACACAAGUAAGACGAAUUCCAAAAUAGACACGUGUUUGGAUACAAAUGGGAGUUAAUAAGUAUCAAACGCUAUUCUUAAUUAUCGUAAUUCAGUUGCUGAAAAGAACUGAUUUAGCUAAUUAAGUGGAAUUUCACUAAUUAAAGUUUGACCAGCUUCCUGAUUCGAAACAUGAGUUGCCAGUGGGAACAAACACGACUCAAAACUCCGUUACCAUGAUUCUGUGCAAGACCCAAUGGAGGAAAUGAUGGAUGCAGACUCUUCAGGAUGAUUGCAUGAACUUUGACUGACGUAGAAGUCCGGUCCACAGAGAUCCUAAGAGUUUUAAAUGUUGUUUCGAUGAGUAAUGCAUAACACUAUUAAUUAGUUUCCAAAAUUGGACUGGUUAAGGUAUUCUCAAGAUGAGUUAUAUUGGGUGCUAGUAUUGUAUAUAGGUUUAUUCAGUACGCUAUAUCUUUUUGUGGCGAUGUUUUGUCCUGAGAGAUUCUUUUAUCACUACAAGAAAACAGCUUGUUUCCUACAGACGAUUUAGUCGAAAUAAGCCAUUUCUGAUGAAUUUCGUUGGUUCUAUCUCGUCGAAAAAAAAACGUUUGAAUUUCGUCGGAUUUCUGACGCAUUUCCGACGGACAAAUUUCCGACGAAAUACCGACGAAUAAAUUUCCGACAAAAUACCAACGGAUAAAUUUCUGACGAAAUUCUGACAAAUCUUAUCCGUCGAAACUUUUGUAAACUAUUUUUAAAAUAAAAUAAAUUUUAUUUUAAAUAUAAUAUUUAAUGAAUUACGUAUAACAAAUUUUAAAAAUCAUUUAUAAUAAAUAUUUUUAAUUCUUUAUAUAUAAAUAAAAUAAAAUUUAAAAUUAGGAAAACGUUUUAACUAAAUCUUUUUUGUAAUUGAACCCAUUUCCUAGAAAUUAAAAACAUUUUAAUUAAAUCUAAAAAAAAACAAAAACUUUUUAUAGAUUGAAAAGGUUUAAAAAAAUGUGAAAAACGUUUUGAUAAUCUUUAGUAACCAGAAAAUGUUUUAUAAAUUAUAACAAACAAUAAAAACUUUUUAUAAGAACUUAAAUUUUUUUUUUUGAUGAAUUUUUUUUUUAAAGUUUAAAACGUUUUAUAAAAUCAUAAAAACGUUUUAAAACAACAAUAAUAAUAAAAACUUGAAAAUGUUAUAUAUAUAUUUAUUUAUUCUAAUAAAACUCCAAAAAUGUUUUAAAAUUUGAAAAAACAUUUUAUAAAUAACAAAAAAAAGAUUCACAAAACAACAAAUUAAAUAAACAAACUACAAAAUCACAAGCAAAACCUAUCUAAACCACAACAUAACAACAAAAUCUAACAUCUAAUUCAUAAUAUUCUUCAUCCUAACAUAAAUCCAACAUUCAAAACCUUAAAUUCACAAUUUCACAAUCAAAAAGUAACAUAAGUCAAAUGAGAAAAGGAAAGAGAUGACUUACAUAAUUUGUGAGGUGGAUUUGAGGAGUUUGAGCUUAGAAUCGUUGGAUUAGAGAGAGAGAAUCAAAGAGAAUUUGUGUAUGUUUAGAGAGAGAGAGAGGAGAAGUGAGGAAGAAGAAGGGGCUUGCGCUUUUAUAUUAAAAAUUUCUGACGGAUUGGAUUCAUCAGAAAUCCGUCAAAAUUUUUUAUUUUGACGUUUCACGAAAAAUUAGGCAGGGUUUUUCGGGGCAAAUUUCAAUUUCCGACGAAUAUACCAUUUUCGUCGGAAAUUCGCCGGAAUAUAUCAUUGUCGUCGGAAUUCGACAGAAAUAUAUUUGUCAGAAAUUUCCUACGAAUUUUGAACGAAUUAUAAUAGCCAUCGAUAAUAAAUUGAUGACUUUUAGGGUUUAAAAUCUUCAUAAUGUUUAGAAACACUUGAAAACACACAAACUAAAGAUUGCAAGAUGGAUCACCGAAAAGUAUUUGCUUAAGUGUAUAAGUGUUAACGAGAAAUAUUAGGUAUCCGUCCAUGCAUCAAUCGCAAGAAUAUAUAUAUAGCUUAAAUAAUUGAGGCAAUAUUAAUCUACAUCAUAUUUAUCACUUAAUAUAUCCGGAUGAACAUUUAUUUUGAAUAUUUCAUAUCUAAACUCAUGGUCGUCGAAAAUUCGUUGGAAAUUUGUGUCGAAUAUGCUACGAAAAUUUCGCAAUCCAUCAGAAUUUCGUCGGCAAUUUUCUAGGAAGAAAUUUGUCAAAAUUUCGUCGGACAUUUCUGACGAAUUUCCUACAGAAAUUUUUCAUUUCGUCGGAAAUCCGUCAGAAAUUUCUGAUGAAUUUCCGACGAAAACAUAAACCCCAAAUCUAUACCCUAAAUCGUGUAAUCUUCCUUGGGAGUCGUCGGUAUUUUGUCGCUUAUUUUUGAUGAAAGAAAGUUCGUCGGAAAUUCCUAAGAUAUUUCCGACAAAUGGUAAAAUUUUAUAUUUCUCGAAAUCCGUCAGAAAUUUCUCAGAAAUUUCCGACGAAUAUUUCUUCCGUCAGAAAAUGAAUAUGUUUUCUUGUAGUGUAUUGCACAUGGCCAUUUGCUAAUAAUCCAGUUUUAUGGAAUGGAUCUUGUGUGUUCACGAGGUUCAUGUGGCAGUCUUUUUCAACGAUUGGGACUUGGCUUUGUUUUAACUAGUUUUUCUAGGUGUUCCGGAUUAAUGAAAAUUCUAAGUUGGAAUUGCAGAGGACUCAGGAGUAAAUGGAUUAUUAGUUAUUUGAGAGAAAUUAGGGGGAAAUAUAAACCAGCGUUUCUAUUUUUAUCGGAAACCAAACAGCAAUUUGAUUUUGUGCAGUCUUUUUAAUUUCAUUUUGGAUAUUCUCAUCUCCAUACGGUUGAUCUUAUAGGGAGGAGUGGUGGGCUGGCUCUAUUUUAUGAUUCCACUUAUAAGGUAUAUAAACUCUUCAAGCAACAUAAUUAUAGACGUCGAGACAAAAUAUAACGGAAAAUGAAUUUUUAUUUCACUUGUUUAUGGCGAGUCAAAUCAAAAUUUUAGAGACCAGAUUUGGGAGAGGCUUACAAUAGGGAUCUUGAGGGACGAACCAUGGUUUAUUAUUGGAGACUUAAAUGAGAUUACGGGUAAUCAUGAGAAACAAGGAGGAGUUCUUAGACACGCAGAUACGUUUUUACAAUUCAAUAAUAUGAUAGAGAACUGUGGUCUGAUGGAGUUUCCAAGUCUUGGUAAUACUCUUUCUUGGAACGGAAGAAGAGCUGGACAUGUGUUAAGUGUCAACUGGAUAGGGCAUUGGCAAACAAUGAAUGGCAUAAUCUGUUUCCUUGCUCUUUUGUUGAAUACUUGGGUAUGAUUGCCUCUGAUCACAGGCCGAUUGUGGCAUCAAUAGAGGAUAAAGUACUAAACUUUUGACGGUAAUUUAGAUUUGAUAAAAGAUGGAUAGGUGAGGAUGGACUGAUGGAAUCUAUUGAACGUGGAUGGUCCACUCAGAGGGGUGGACGCCGCAUGGGUAUAGUAGAUAAAAUUCAUAAUUGUUGACAUGAAAUUUCUGUUUGGAAAAAGGAAAAUCCACCUUAUGGGAAGGAAAAAAUAAAUACUCUUCAGAGGGCUCUGGAGGAUGAUCAAAGCGAUUUGACAAAAUCUCUUGAAGUAGUGAUUGAGGUGUCCAGGAAACUAAAAGAGGCAUAUCGAGAUGAAAAAUUAUAGUGGGAACAGAAGAGUAGAACUUUGUGGCAUACAUGUGGAGAUAGAAAUACUAAAGUAUAUCAUGCUUUAACCAAACAAAGACGCAUACAAAACAUGAUUAUUGGUUUAUAUAACGAGGAUGGGGAUUGGAUUAAUUCAGAAGGUGAUAUGGAAAGUGUGUCGCUUAAAUAUUUCAAUGAUCUGUUCCAGUCUACCCCGCCUUCAGAGUUUGAUAGGUUUCUAGAGGAAGUUCCAACUUGGUAACAACUGCUCAAAAUAAUAGACUAACGGCUCAUGCUUCAAAGGAGGAAGUUAGGACGUCAUUAUUUAUGAUGCACCCGGAGAAAG